rnacentral:rRNA from 1 species
UACGUAGGGUGCAAGCGUUAUCCGGAAUUAUUGGGCGUAAAGAGCUCGUAGGCGGUUUGUCACGUCUGCUGUGAAAACUGGAGGCUCAACCUCCAGCCUGCAGUGGGUACGGGCAGACUAGAGUGCGGUAGGGGAGACUGGAAUUCCUGGUGUAGCGGUGGAAUGCGCAGAUAUCAGGAGGAACACCGGUGGCGAAGGCGGGUCUCUGGGCCGAUACUGACGCUGAGGAGCGAAAGCGUGGGGAGCAAACAGG